UCCCUGGAAGACUAGUGGCUAGACCUCAGCGCUCUCACCGCUGUGGCCCGGGUUCGAUUCCCGGCCAGGGAA
rnacentral:tRNA from 1 species